CCUACGGGGGGCAGCAGUAGGGAAUUUUUCACAAUGGGCGAAAGCCUGAUGGAGCAACGCCGCGUGCAGGAUGAAGGCCUUCGGGUUGUAAACUGCUUUUAUAAGCGAGAAAUAUGAUGGUAACUUAUGAAUAAGGAUCGGCUAACUACGUGCCAGCAGCCGCGGUCAUACGUAGGAUCCGAGCAUUAUCCGGAGUGACUGGGUGUAAAGAGUUGCGUAGGUGGCGUAAUAAGUAGCUAGUGAAAUCUGGUGGCUCAACCAUUCAGACUAUUAGCUAAACUGUUAAGCUCGAGACCGUUAGGGGUAACUGGAAUUUCUAGUGUAGGAGUGAAAUCCGUAGAUAUUAGAAGGAACACCAAUAGCGUAGGCAGGUUGCUGGGACGGUUCUGACACUAAGGCACGAAAGCGUAGGGAGCAAACGGGAUUAGAUACCCUUGUAGUC
rnacentral:rRNA from 1 species